AUGGGUGCUUUUUGAAAUUCCACGUUGAGCUGAAGAUAGAUGUGAUUGCUGUGUUGGCAAUGUUGGGUUGUUUGGAGAGGUUACGGUCAGCCCGCGACGGUAAGGGGGCGAAUGGUUGGAUCCGUUGAUUAGUAUGGCCUGAUUUUUGACAUCCAGUGGUGGUGACUCGCGUCGCUAAUACGGUGCGAUUUAGGUUGCAGCAAUAGUUACCCGACCGCCGGCUAGAAGAAACAGGGGGAACAAGAUCAUGCCGUCAUGCCGUCUCCGGUGGCACAAUAUGCGCUCGACAGGGGAUUCUCCCCCGAACUUAUUCUCAUGCCAGAACGAGCAGGAGAG
rnacentral:lncRNA from 1 species